rnacentral:lncRNA from 1 species
UUUCGUUAUUUUGAUUUGUUACACCGGCAUAUGCUUAUCCUCCAUCCACCAUCACCACCUCGCCGUUGCCCCCCCCACUCCCUUGGAUCCCCCAUCCUCCACUCUUGCUGCUCCCUCUCUCACCACUAUUGACUCUCCACCUCCGCCUACCAUUCCGGCGCGGGGCCGGCCAUCCCCGUAUUCAUUGACAAAUCUGCCUAUCACUCCGUCGCGGGGCCCGCCAUCCGGGUUUCCAUUGAGAGAACCGCCUAUCACUCCGGCGCUGGGCCCGCCAUCCGGGUUUCCGUUGAGAGAACCGCCUAUCACUCCGGCGCUGGGCCCGCCAUCUGGGUUUCCAUUGAGAGAACCGCCUAUCACUCCGGCGCUGGGCCCGCCAUCCUCGUCUUCAUUGACACCUCCGCCUAUCACUCCGGCGCUGCGCCCGCCAUCCUCGUCUUCAUUGACACCUCCACCUACCACUCCGGCGCUGAGCCCGCCAUCCCUGUCUUCAUUGACACCUCCUCCUACCUCAGGCGCCCCUCCACCGUCCACUCCUUCUGACUCAUCUCCGCCCUCGUCAAAUCCGGUGGCCAGGAGUCCUCCCUCGCCUCCGACGGGUGACGACGGUGGUGGUGGGGUGAGUACUGGGUUAGUGGUGGGGUUAGCGAUUGGUGGGCUGGCGGUAAUUGUGGUGGUGAGCCUGUUGAUUUUGCGUUGCCGCAGGAAGAGGAGGAGGAGGAGAGAUGAUGAGGCGGGUUACUGUACGCUCCCACCUCCUCUUGCCCCAAAAGGUUUUUGCUUCGACUUUUUUAUUUCUUUUCCUUAAAUUUGCAUGUUUAUUUAUUUAUUUAUUUCAAAUUGCUUCUGGUUUCGUUGAUUUUAAUUAUUUUGUGCGUUUCCGUGACCUGUUUUUGCAGUGUUGUUCUUAAUUUAUGAUUAAGAUUUGAUUAAUCCUUGGCAUUGCAUGAAUUUAAAUCGGACUUAGUUUUCUAUUUUUCUUGCAUUUGUUUAAUUCAAUUUUGACCGUAUUGAUUGAUUGAUACAUGUAUCAAUGAAACCAUCUUAUCAUUGAUUUUUACUUGGUUCUCUAACUAUUUUGUACUUUCUAGACAUGGGUGAUAUGCAUAUGCAUGUGUGCUGUCUAAUGUCUAUGGAUUGCAACUUAGUCAAAUUUUCUCUUUUAGAGGUGUUGUGAUAUUUUCAUAUCUAAGAUUAUUACUAGAAUUGGGACAUUUCCGGAAUAAUUUCAGUGGUCCUUGUUUUUGUUGCCAUAUAGUUGGCCAAAGUCUCAUUCUACCAAACCGAAAAACCCCAUUCCAAAAUUCUGUUUAUUGCAAAAUCUAAAAUCUUGAACUACUUAGGGUAACACAUAAGUUUUAAACUUCUAGUAAAUUAUUGUUCUUUGUUUUACCUUUCCGAUUUUGAUGCGUUCCAUUCACAUAUGUAUCUACAGCUUGUGGCCAAGACUCUUGAUUUUCUCUCAGUUGACUAAGUUACAUCUUAUCAUUAGGAGUGCCAAAAAUGGUUCCUGCUAUUGUUUUUUUUUUCUUGAGAUUUUGAGGCACUUGAAAAUUGCUUUUCGAUGUUGAAUUGUUAAUUUUGAUUUCAAUACGCUUUUAAUUCAAGGUGUGAUAGCAUAUUGGCAAUACAUUGUGAUCAAGUAAUAGUCAUUUCUCUAGUUUCUUUGAGUAAUUAAAUUUAAAGAAGGUGUUUACAGCCUAUACAAAUAACUCAUUGACUAACAUCUCCAGAGAUUCCUGCUUCAAUUAAUAACUAUUGAGUAUUAUAAGUAUUUUUUUUAGUGUCCUUUAUGAUUUGUCAGUUGACCCUUACGGCAGCAGACAACAGCACUGGCAGCAAAAUGUCCCACCUUCUGCAGCACAUGUAGUCACACAACCACCAAGGCCGGCUCCUCCACAUCCGGUUGCAUCACGCCCACCACACUCGCCCGUAUACACUCCCUCCCCUCCACCACCACCACCUUUCAUGAGCAGUAGUGGAGGCUCUAGCUCUAAUUAUUCAGGGUCUGAGGCACCAAUCCCACCUCCAUCACUUGGCCUUUCAUUAGGUUUUUUGAAGAGCACUUUUACAUACGAAGAAUUAGCAAGGGCAACAGAUGGCUUCUCAGAUGCUAACCUCCUCGGACAAGGCGGUUUUGGUUAUGUGCACAAAGGAGUCCUACCGAAUGGUAAGGAAGUCGCAAUCAAGCAGCUGAAAGCUGGAAGUGGGCAGGGAGAACGUGUGUUUCAGGCGGAAGUUGAAAUUAUUAGCCGAGUACAUCACAAACAUCUUGUAUCCUUGGUUGGAUACUAUACAGCUGGAUCACAAAGAAUGCUUGUGUGUGAGUUUGUUACAAGCAACACUUUGGAGUUUCACUUGCAUGGUAAGUUUGCAUAUGAAGACCUUAGAUAACUCUUUAUGUGAACUUAUUUGUUGGAAAGUACUUUUAAGCUCUUCUUGUACUUAUUCUAUUGGCCUUCAUUAUGUUGUUAAGGCACUAAAUGCAAUUGAGAUAAUGGUUCACAGAUCCUUUUGUAAUAGAUGUUGUUUAGCUGAUGUUAGAAAUUUAUUAAGGAUCUGACAGAAAGCAUAUUGCAGGGAAGGGUCGACCUACCAUGGAUUGGCCAACAAGACUCAAAAUUGCCUUAGGUUUUGCGAAAGGACUGGCUUACCUCCAUGAAGAUUGUAAGAUCUCUCUCUCUCUCUCUCUCUCUCUAACUUCAUGGAUUGUGAUGUUUAAUUGUACGGUGAUUUACCCUAAUAUCUUGUCUAUUCGUACUUUCAGGUCAUCCUAAAAUUAUUCAUCGUGAUAUUAAAGCAGCUAAUAUACUUUUGGAUUUCAAGUUUGAGGCAAAGGUAUUAAUUGCGUUAGUGAAUUUUUUAACUCAAAUUUUUUGAACUAGUGGAAACACAAGCAGCACCUUAUUUCAAAUUCUAUCUAGCACUAGUGUGAUUUGAAAUUUUCAUAGGUUUCGAUUAUAUUUGUGAUGCUAAUCUUGAAGUUCCUUUCCUUAGGUUGCUGAUUUUGGACUAGCAAAGCUUGCUUCUGAUGUUUAUACUCAUGUUUCCACUCGAGUGAUGGGUACAUUUGGGUAAGACCAACUACUUUGAUAUUCUAUUUUCUCAUUGUCGUAUCACUGAUGAUGAACCAUAUUAUGUUUGAGUUGAACCAGAAUGUGGCUCAAAAAUUUCAUAAGUUAUAUUUUGAUUUCUCAAGAUAUCUCCAAACCUCGUUGUAAAUGCUUGAACUUGAUUGCCCUUAACUCAUUUUUUUCUUUUUCUUUUUCUUCAUUUCAUGACAUUUUACAUUGGAGUUUGAAGUUGGCUUCAUCUGUUCAUAGUGAUCUGUUUAAGGCAGCUGGUUCUGCUCUGACUGUAACCCUUAUUAUUGUUAUUAAUCUUUUCAGUUGAUUCUAAUGAUAAUGAUCAGAUCUAUUUUAUUGGUUUAUUUUUCUAGAUAGGUUUAGAGUUUUGAUGAGUGAACUUUAUAUGCUCACUUAGGACUUUGAAUUAGCUAAUUUUUCAUUUUCUUAUAUGGUUGGCACCUGCAGAUACCUGGCUCCAGAAUAUGCUUCAAGUGGGAAACUCACAGAGAAAUCAGAUGUUUUCUCCUUUGGUGUCAUGCUUUUGGAAUUGAUUAUUGGUUGUCGACCUGUCGACUCAACCCAUACUUUCAUGGAAGACAAUUUGGUGGAUUGAGUGAGUAAUAUUUUUCCUUUUUCCCCUUAUUUUCUUCAAUCACAGGAGUCAGUUAUGGCUAUGAAAUCUUGGAUAUCACAGGGAACUGACUAAAUUUGUUGGCAUUACAGGCAAGGCCUUUGCUUAAUAGAGCUAUAGAAGAUGGAAACUUUGACACUCUGGUUGAUCCAAAACUGCAUAAUGAAUACAACCACAACGAGAUGGCUCGCAUGGUUGCUUGUGCAGCUGCCUGCGUGCGCCAUUCAGCACGUUGCCGACCAAGAAUUAGCCAGGUAAUGAGCUUGAAUUUGGUUGAUCAAUUACCAAAACAUCAUCUUUUUAAUCAGACUUCUAAUUCAUAAUUUAUUAUAGAGCAGAUAGUCCGUACUUUGGAAGGGGAUGCAUCUCUGGCUGACCUUAAUGAAGGAAUCAGACCUGGCCAAAGCAGUGUAUACGGAAGCUUAGACUAUGAUACAAUGCAAUACAAUGAAGACUUAAAAAAAUUCAGGAAGAUGGCACUAAACAGCCAGGAAAUCAGUGCCAGUAGCGGGUACAGUAGACCUACCAGCGAUUACGGUUUACACUCUUCCAGCUCUAGCAGUGAAGGCCAUAACACCCGAGAAAUAGAGAUGGGAAAGGCGAGGAAAAAUAGUCACAGACAAGGUUUCAGCGGAAGCCCCUAACAAUUGACACUAUUUUUCUGUAAAGUUCUAACAUCCCAAAAAUUACCCGUGAAAACACAAGGGUAAAAUUGGAAUGAAACCGCAUAUUUUUUUUUAAUUAAUAAAUCUCAAGAUAUACAAUCAUUAUUCAUACUUCAACUGAAUCUUUAUAUAAAACAUCUGAAAUAAAGUUUCCAAAGAAAAGUCUCUAAUUCAAAAUAAAAAUUUAGCCAAAUUUAAUCUUUAAAGCAAUUCUAAAGAUCCACUAAGAAAAAUUCUAUAUUCAAAAGCCUCAAGCCAUAUCUCUAAUCAAUCUGCAAAAUAUUGGAGACGAAGGGUGAGCCAUUAACUCGGUAAGCAAAUUCAUGCACAAUAUUUAAAAUUUUUUGUCAUUUUACCUUUAAAAAUUUUAUAACAACAUCUUCAUUUAGCAUAAGGGGUGGAUUCAUGUAAAAGCAUUAAAAACAUUAAAACAUAAACAUUGGUAGCUCAUGCCAUGUAGUCAUCAUCAUUCAUCAUUCAUCGUUCAGGAUAUUAUACCCCACAUUGUUCAUAACAUCCUUGUGCACAAGAUCAUCAUCAUACUAGCAAGCUGGCCAUAGUAUUUCGUAACAUCAUAACAUGGGCAUCAUAUACAUUACUACGGAUUUUGAGUCAAAACAUUUUUGAAUCCACCUUACAUCCUUUCAAAAAUAGCAUUUAAAGUCUUCUAAAACAUUUAAGUACCUGGCUUUGAUCAUUUAAUUAUUUUAGAAAAUUCUUUAAGAAAACAUUUUGUUUAAGAAAACUAAUUUCUUAAGAAAAAUUCAUUUUAAAUUUUAUUUUUAUAAAUUCAUUUAAAGGUUAUUUUACAAAAUUCAUUUAAAUAUUUUAGAAAUCAAUUUUGUAAAAUUUUUUUAUCUAAACAUAAUUCUUAUAACAUAAAUUACAUUUAUUAUGAAGCACAUCAUGCGUGAAUCUACUUACCUCAAUCCGCAGCAAUCAACUCAAUACCAUAAGAACAACCAACGAGCUCACCCACAUCCUAUAAUCAUCAUAAAAAUAUCCUUAUCAAUAUCAUCUAUGACCUUAAACAUAAUCCCAAUCAUCCUUAAUUCAUAGGCAUACUAGCUCAAUACUUAUACAUAUUCUAGACAUAAGUAUGAGUAUCUUACAUAUGCUGAUUUUUAAUAACCUAUACAAAUGUCGGAAAACCAUGAAAAUUUACAGAGGCACUGUGAACAUGCAUAGCAUUGCAUACAAUAUUUCACAAAAUCAGCACAAGUCAAAAUCGAGCCAGAAUAUUGACCUUUCACUAAAGUAACAAAACUGCCCAGCAUUGAACAAAACAGACAUUUACCACUUAGGAGAUUCAUAAAAUAUUCUUUAGUACUCGAAAUAAUAUGUUUCUUUUUUUUAAUUACAGAAAACACAUUAAAAAAUAAUAUAAUUAAAAUUCAUAAUUUUUGGACGCCUGAAACUAUUUUAAAAGCAUUUUAUUUCCAAAAACAUCGAACCUGCCAGAAAAUUUCAGAUUUAAAAACAGAACUUCAAAAAUUCAUAUAUUUUAUUUUACAUGCCCAAAAAUCACGAUUCCAGUUUUUAAAGACAGAGGAAAGAUUGAAAUUUCAUUAUAAAAUCCUAAAAUGGCAUGUAAUAUUCAUAAAUUAGCCCAACUGUUACACGUUUCAGCUUCUGCAAUUCUGGAAAACAGUUUCCAGAUCUGCAGCAGCCACAUGUUACGAUUUUUAAUAAUUUAACCAUAAAGAAUAAAACUAUGAAAUUAAACAUGCAAGCAUAGGAGACAAGAUCUGUUGAUAUAAAAAUUGCCAUAAUUUUUAAGGAUGUGUAACCUUACAGAAAAAUUUCUAGAAGUGAGAACCGCUGCUGAAAAUCAGAAUUUUCCAGCACCAGUAACCCAAUUUCGAAAAACCAUAACAAUUUGCAUACUCAGAGGAUUUCAACACAAAACUUAUCAAUGGAAAGCUUAGGAUGUCUAGUUCCAUGAUAUGUAAGCAUGUUCACGUGAUUCUAAAUAAAGAAAACGAUUUCAAGCAAGGACUAGAGACUGUUCAUAUCAUCACAACAUUACAAACAAACAUAUAUUACCCAAACUUCAGGAAGAUGGCAUUAAACAGCCAGGAAUACAGUGCCAGUAGCGAGUACAGUAGACCUACCAGUGAAUAUGGUUUGUAUCCUUCUGGGUCAAGCAGUGAAGGCCAGAACACCCGAGAAAUGGAGAUGGGAAAGACGAAGAAAAACAGUCAAGGUUUCAGCGGAAGCCCCUAACAACUGACACUAUUUUUCUGUAAAGUCCCCGGCACACCCUUCUUUUUCAUUCACACUAUGAAUUGAAUGUCGCAUUGAUUGCAAAAUUGUUGUUUGGCAUAAUUCAUACAAUUUUCUUAUCCUUUUUCCCCCUCUAAUUUUGUAAUUUUUUUCCCCCCCAAUACUUGUAUUUACUAGUGCUUGUUAAAUAUACAAGAAUGUAAGGAAGAGAUUGUCACAAUAUGUUCCAAUGGCUUGACCUCGACCCCUCCCUCUGCCCCUUCCUCGAGCUAUGUUGUUGUAAUAAGAGUAACAGUGGGAAAUAAUGAUAGAACAAUUGAUAAUAUAAUAAAGUUUGUGAAUUUUCUUGAUGCCUUUAUUGAAUAAACUAUGCUGAAUUUAUACACUGCAAGACUUUGCAUCUUAACAACGAAAGCACAACUAAUAACUAAAAAAAAUAGCAACAGUAGCUAAAAAAUAGCAAAUAAAUCAGACUUGUGCACAUUAUUCAGAGUAGUGACCAACUACUUUGACUGACUCAAUAGAAUUAAAAGAAUAAUUAAAAUAGAGUGCUGCAGACUCGUAACAUUCCUUCCCCCUUGAAUAGGUCCUUGUCCUCAAGGACUCUUAAAGUGAGGGAACCUUGCCAUAAAAGAACUUUCUUCCUCCCAGGUAGCUUCUGAAGCUGGGAGACCAUCCCAUUGAAUCAACAUUUCACACUUGUGUCCUGUCCUACGGUGUUUCAGAAUUGCUGAAGGUUGGGGCUGAAGUUCUCCACUUUCAUCUACUAUAGAUGGAAGGCUAGAAAGAGUUCGAUCUUGGGCACCCAGUUGUUUCUUCAAGAGAGAGACAUGAAAAACAGGAUAGAUUUUACUUCCAGGCGGAAGAUCGAGGCGAUAGGCAACUAAUCCAAUUCUCUCCAACACUCGAUAAGGACUAUAAAAGCGGGGCAAGAGUUUGUUUGACGAUCUCAGAGCCAAGGAGGUCUGCCGGUAGGGCUACAGAUGUAAAUACACCCAAUUCCCCACAAAAAAUUCUCUUUCCACUUUUCCACGAUCAUAUACAGCUUUCAUUCUAUCUUGUGCUUGUUGGAGUUGAGUCUUUAGCUCUCGCAUGACCCGAUCUCUAGCUUGCAACGUCUGGUCCACGGCUUCUACUCUAGCUGUGUCAGGAACAUAAGUUAACAAGUUAGGUGCAGCUCACCCAUACACCACUUCAAAGGGAGUCUUUCAAGUGGAAGCGUGAAGACUGGUGUUAUAACAUAAUUCUGCCCAGGAAAUCCAGUGAACCCACUCGUUUGGCUUGGCACUUGUGAAGCAUCGCAAAUACAUUUCAAUAGUUCGGUUCACUGCCUCAGUUUGCCCAUCCAUUUGCGGAUGAUAAGAUGAGCUGAAAUUGAAAUGAGUGCCCUGUAAAUUGAAAAGCUCCUUCCAAAAAGAACUCAAAAAGUUAGAAUCUCGAUCACACACAAUUGAUCUUGGCAUGCCAUGAAGCUUAAACACAUUCUCAAAAAACAGUUGUGCCAACUUAGGAGCAGAAUAAAGAUGAGAUAUUGGAAUAAAAUGGGCAUAUUUAGACAACCGAUCCACCACCACAAAGAGAACUGAUUUUCCUUUAGAUGGGGGUAAUCCAUCAAUGAAAUCCAUCGAGAUAUCAGACCAUACCUCUGUGGGAAUAGGUAAAGGCUGAAGAAGGCCCGAGGGUGAUUGAUGAUCAACCUUGUGAUGUUGACACACAUCACACUGUUUAAUAUAAUUCUUAAGUGUCUCUUUCAUGUGCUUCCAAUAGAAAACUUCUUUGAUUAUGUGGAAGGAUUUGUAAAACCCCUCAUGACUGCCAUCAUGGAUCUCUUGGAUGAUUGUUGGAAUUAAUGGUGAAUUUUCAGGUAAGUAGAUCCGUUCCUUGAAGAAUAAAAUGCCAUCUCGAUUCUCCCAAGGCCCCACUGCCUCACCUUGCUGUAGAUUCUCCUGUAUUUGUUGUAACUCGGGAUGUGACUGAUUUUCCUCUCAAACCAUCUUUAACCAUUGUGGUAAAAGGCAGGAUAUAAAAUUGAUUUCGCCUUGUGCGUCCCUUCUAGAUAAUGCAUCUGCUGCUGCAUUACUCUUUCCCUUCUUGUAUUCGAUGGAAAAAUCAUAUCCCAUCAGUUUGAGUAGCCACUUCUGUUGAGCUUCUGUCAUUAUUCUCUGCUCCCACAAGUAUUUUAGACUCUGUUGAUCAGUUCGAACUAUAAAAUGGCGCCCCAACAAGUACAGUCUCUAUUUCUUUAUUGCUAAAACAAGUGUCAUCAACUCCUUUUCGUAAGUAGAGAGUAAUAGAUUCUUUCAUUUUAAAGCAGUGCUAAAAUAUGCAAUUGGUUUCUGUUCUUGCAUUAAAACAUCAUCUAAACCACUCCUAGAUGCAUCACAUUCAACGAUGAAUAAAAGGGUGAAAUUUGGCAAGGCUAGCAUUGGAGCACGAGUCAUGGAUUGUUUCAACAACUUAAAGGCCAUGUCUGCUUCUGAAUUCCAAAAAAAAGAUUUCUUUUUCAGCAUGGACGUCAAAGGAGCGGCUAUGUUGCCAUAACAUGUAGUAAAUUUUCUGUAGUAACCAGUGAGUCCCAGGAAACCUCUUAAUGCCUUGACAUUAGAUGGUUUUGGCCAGCCUUCCAUUGCUUUAAUUUUGUCAGGGUCAACCUUCACACCAUUACUACAAAUAAUGUGGCCUAAGUAUUUAACUUGGGUUUCCCCGAAUUGGCACUUCUCCCUUUUAACAACUAAAUGAUGAGCUCGCAAGAUCGAGAAAGUAAUUCGAACAUGUUUUUGAUGGUCGGACCAUGAUUUGCUAUAAAUCAAAAUGUCAUAAAAAAAACUAGGAUGAAUUUACGUAAAUGAGCUUUGAAGAUAUCAUUUAUGAGGGACUUAAAUGUAGAAGGUGCAUUAGAGAGCCCAAAGGGCAUUACUGGGAAUUCAAAAUGUCCGUGAUGAGUUCGAAAGGCCGUCUUAUGCACGUCAUUUAGGUUUAUGCGAAUCUGAAAAUAGCCUGACUUGAGGUCGUGCUUUGUAAAGAACUUGGCACCAUGCAAUUCAUCUAAUAGUUCAUCGAUCACCAGAAUUGAAAAUUUAUCUUUCACAGUUUGUCGAUUAAGUGCUCUGUAAUCCACUCAAAACCUCGAACUCCCAUCAUAUUUUCGUACUAAUAAUACUGGUGAAGAAAUAUCGAUAAGGACGAACAUAUAGCGGCCCAGUUCCUGGCUGAAGAGGAAUUUGAUGGUCUUGGGAACGCGAGGGCGGCAGCCCUAUUGGAGUUUCAAAAACAUCAUGAAAUUCAGUAAGUAAGAAUCCCAAAUCAUCAUUUUGUGUUACCUCAUGGGUUGCUGUUGGUUCGUUAUCCACUGAAAUUGAGCAAAGUUGUAAAAUGAUCCCACGACCUUGGUUUUUCCUCAAUGUUUUCGGAAUUGUAUCUCCCUCAAUAGCUUUAAGUUCUAAAGUAGUAGCACUCCGUAAUGUCACCUAAUGCCCAUCUUUAGUAAAUUGCAUUUCCAUUUUGUCAAAGUCUUAAAAGAUUGGUCCAAGGGUGCAUAACCACUGUGCCCCUAACAUCGCAUCACAUCCUUCUAGAGAAAAGAGGUAAAACUUUGCUUUAAUUUGAGUCCCCUGCAACUGCAACUGUACUCCCUUACAAGGAUCAGGACUAGUCAAUUUCUCUAUAUUGGCAACUACCACACUAAGCAGACACCCUGGCUCCGGCUUCAGUCCCGUAAUUUUUACAAAUUUGUGAUGGAAAAAAUUAUGAGUUGAACCAGAAUCAAUUAAAAUAGUCAGAGAGGCUUUACCAAUACUUGACUGAAGUCGCAUUGUUUGUGGAGAUUGGACCCCAGCUAGAGAAUGCAAGGAAAUAGCGGGAGUCUCUUAUGUAUCGUCCUUCUCCUCUUGAUGUUCUUCUGGCUCGUCCCCUUCUUCCGCCUCAAUCAAAAAUAAUUUCUUGCAUUUGUGUCCAAAGGUAUACUUCUCAUCACAGUUAUAACACAAUCCUUGUUCCCGCAGACGUUGGAGUUCUGUUGGGGAGAACCUGUGAAUUGGUAGUGUGAGGUCAGAAGUAGAGUUUCUGGAGAAAUUUAUUGUGCCUAGUUGUGUGUUAGAAUUUUGUCCAAAGGAUGAGACUGGUGUAUUCGUGGAUCUUUGGGUCUUAAAUUCAUAAGUUCGGGCCAACGCAAUCGCUGCACUUAAAUUUAAAGGAUUUUGUACUCGCACAUCAGUUCGUAACCCAUCUUUUAACCCACUGAUAAAACACCCAGCUUCUUGCUUGUCUGUUAAGUGACCUGCUCGGGCUAGUAACCUUGCAAACUGAGUUUGAUACUCUGAUAUCGUUCCUGUCUGUUUAAGCUUGCACAACUCACCGAAUGGAUCUUCAUAUUCAGUAGAGCCAAAUUGCUCUAACAAGCCUGCCUUCAUGCCCUCCCAUGUCACAAGAUGCCCUUAAUUCUUACAACGUUGAAACCAUAACUGUGCAUCAUUUUCCAAGUGAUAUGUGUUAGCCUAAAGGGCUAUACAUAAUGUAAUUUUGAUGAUAACAAACAUAUGUAUUGAGUGAUUUAAUAAAUAUUGUAUUUUACAUUUUCACUAGUUUUUGAAGGAUAAUAUUUAUGCAAGUGAAUCAAGAUUGAAGACAUUCAACGGACAACGGCGACAUCAAGAAUAGUCUAGAGCUCAACGAACAAAUUAGUGCGAUAAGUUCUUGUAAAGCCGGUAUGAUUUAAUUGAUGUUUGAUUUAGCAUUUGAGAAGCUCAAGAAAUUAAUUUAAUUAAAUACUUUUCAUAAACUAAAAGUUUUUUUUUUUAUAAAGACAAGUAUUUUGUGAAUUUAAGUAAUUUGGACUUAAAUGCUAAGAUUUGAAAUCUUUGAUUUUAAUAAGAAUUAAAUUUCGGAGUUGGAUGUUUUUACAAAUAUUUUAAAUGUUUUGGGCCAUACUAUAAUUUGUGAAUAUUUUGGACUAAAGUGAAAGAUUUUGAGAACUUUAAAAAAUAUAGGUAUUAUGUUGAAAAUGACCUUUGUGCGAAACAAUAAAAUCUUUGGGGCCAUAUCAUAAUUUCAAAAAGUUUGGGAAAGACAACUACUUUCGGGAAGUUCUGAAAUUGGACCUAUUUAUAAAGUUUUCUGACGUUUUGGGCCAUAGUAUAAUUAUAGAAAGUUUUAGGCCAAAGUGUAAUUUCAAUGAACAGUGUUACUGUAGCAAAAUUCAAAAAUAACGGUAAUAUCACUGUUCCUGAGCGGCGAGCCGGAUAAAUAAGCGGCUUGGGCGCUGGAAUUUGCCUAUAACGGCUAGUUUUCGGGCUUUCACUAUAAAAACUCAACUCAAACUUCAUUUUAAGAACUAACACAAGCAAAUAUAAGAUCAUAUAACAUAUAUUGAGCUUCCAUUUCGCAAAUAAUCAUUUAUUGAAUCAUUAUUGAGCUAUAAUUUAUUAUCCACUCUUAAAGGGAGUUUCUUUGUUGUGAUUUUUAUUUCUCAUCAAUUUGUGAGUGUACAAGUGUGGGAAACACUUGGGGUGAAGAGAUUGGGGAUAUAAUCUCUUGUUGUAAAGGUUUAUUGACACCUUGGAAGUCAAUUGUAAACAUUUGAAGCCUUAGGAGGCUUGGAUAGUGAAAUUCUCGAGCUCGGUUGGCUUGGAGGCGUGGACGUAGGCGGGGAUAGCCGAACCACGUAAAAAUCCUUGUGUUCGUUUUCUCUUCCCUUACUCUUUUAAUAUUGUGCUUGAAUGAAUUUAUUGUUUUGAUUUUAUUAAGGCAAUAGAUUAAAUUGUUGUGCGAAUUGUAUUGCAUAAAUGUUUAAUAUCCCAAUUUACCCCCCCUCUUGGGUUGCAUAACUUGCAUUUCAUUUGGUAUCAGAGCGAUGUGCUCUUUUGUAGACUUAGCCGUCUAGAGUUAAAGAUUCAUGGCAACCCAUAGUGACUCAACCUUUAGGGAAGGACAAUCCACAAUUAGACCACCGUUCUUUGACGGUAAUGACUACCCAUAUUAGAAAACUAGGAUGAGAAUUUAUUUACAAGCUUUAGAUUAUGAAAUUUGGGAAAUUGUUUGUGAUGGUCCAUUUAUGCCUUUGACUAAAAACGAAGUUGGGGAAGAUAUUCCAAAACCUUCAAGGGAAUAAAAUGAAUUGGAAAAGAGAAAAGCUUAUCUAAACUCCAAAGCUAUGAAUGCCUUGUUUUGUGCACUAGAUAAGAAAGAGUUUCAUAGAGUAUCUAGUUAUGAAAGUGCUAAUGAAAUUUGGCACAAACUUGAAGUUGUUUAUGAAGGCACAAAUCAAGUGAAAGAGUCUAAAAUUAGUAGGUACACUCGACAAUAUGAAUUGUUUCAAAUGGAACAAAAUGAGAGUGUAUAUUCUAUGUACACUAGAUUUACGGACAUAGUGAACACUCUAUGAGCCCUAGGAAAGACCUUUUCAAAUAGUGAGAAAGUUAAGAAAAUCAUUAGGUCACUACCUAAGGAAUGGAGAUAAAAAACGACUGCCAUUGAGGAAGCCUGCUGUACCGUACAUCCGCCUUGGCCGUACAGCAGGUUUGAUAGAGAUGGAUAUGCUGGCUAAGAGGCUUAGAAAACUUUUUAAGAAAUCCGGUGAACGAAGAAAAUUUAGAGACCUCAAGAACCGAAAUGAGAAGAAGGAAGUAAUCAAAUGCUAUGAGUACAAGAAGCCUGGUCAUAUAAGAACAGAAUGCCCUCUUCUCAACAAGCUCAAGAAGAGAGCAAUAGUAGCCACAUGGGAUGAUAGCGAUGAGGAAACAAGUGAUGAUGAAGAGCAUCAAGAAAUGACAAAUCUAGCUCUCAUGGCAAUUGGAGAUGAAUCGGAUGAUGAACUUGAUGAGGUAAAUGAUCUUCUUACUUAUGAUGAAUUACAUGAUGCGUUUAAAGAAUUGUAUGAUGAGUGGAUGAAAAUUGGUAAAAAGAAUGCAUGUCUUAAAAAGAAAAUGGUAAAGCUCACAAAUGAGAAUGAAUCUCUAAGUGCAAAGAUUACAUGCCUAGAAUUAGAGAAUAAAAUAUUGCAUGAUAAAGUUGCAUUAUCGAAUGAGAAACCUAACACUUCACAUGAGCAUCUAGAAUCAUAUGUAGAUGACUUGAAAAAUGAAAAGGAUGCUUUACAAAAAUGCAAUGAUUCAUUAAAUGAAAAGAUUAAAGGACUAGAGUUAGAUAAUAAAAUGUUGCAUGAUAAAAUUGCAUAAUUUAAAUGCAAACAAAGUACUUCAUAUGAGCAUGAGAAAUCACAUGUUGAUGAAUUAAUGAAAGAAAAUGAAGUGCUUAAGAAGAAGAGUAAUGAGCUAAAUCAAAUUGUGUUAAAAUUCACAAAUGGGCAAAAGAUGUUGGAUAACUUGCUUAAUUCACAAAAAAUGUGUGUUUGAUAAAGGAGGUAUUGGUUAUAAGCCAAAUUUGAAACAAAAAUAUUAUAAGAGUUAUUUUGUUAAAACUAUCUCCAUUAAUGAUCAAAUUGUAUGUCAUUAUUGCAAUCAAAAUGGUCACAUAAAGAAUAGAUGUCCAGUUAAAAGAAAUGCUUAUUAUGGAGCAAAAUGUAUUUGGGUUCUAAAAGGAACCAUUGCUAACACUUAAGGACCCAAGAAUAUUUGGGUACCAAAAUACACAACUUGAACAAUUUUUUGUAGGUACCACAAAUAAGGAUGGAGAGUUCCUUGAUGAAGCUUGUGAGGAUAAUCACUUAAUCAUGGUCUGGGCAAAAAUAAUGAGGCAAGAUGGUUUAAUUGUUUUGGUAACAAUUAUUGCCUUAUUGAUUAUAAGUGAUGGUCUUUUAAUCUUAGUAAGUAUUUAAUAAUUCAUUUGGUAUCAUAACAUUAAGUGCAUUAACAUGAUGUGGAUAAGUUUAUCUUGGCUAUUGAUUAUGUUGAGUGAAUCAUGAUGGAUGGAUAAUAGCUUGAACUUACAAAAGCAUGCUCGUACGUUUACAUAAUUAAUUUAUUAUUGUGUGUAAUCAUGAUGCAUGGAUAAAUAUAUAUGAUGGUAGCAUGUCAACUCAUCAUGAUGAAUUUGUUUGAUUUUUAAUGAUUAUGUAAUGCCUAAGCAUGAGGAAUGAAUGAUAUUGCAUUAGAAUUUAUCUCUACGAAAAAACAAUUUGCCGAUAUUUUCACAAAACCCCUUUGCGAAGAACAAUUUUCAAAAAUUCGGCAUGAACUUGGGAUGAUGAAAUUUUCGCAUUAACAUCUCUAUCUAUGUUAUUGAAUCUAUUAAAAUUGUUUGGAAAACAAAGGAGUCGUUGAAAAUCCCAAGUCUGCACAAGCUGUAAUGAAUUGGUCAUAACUCCUUCUAGAGAACUCCAAAUCAAGCUCUGUAAACUUUAUUGGAAAGCUAACUUAAUUAUCUUUCCAACGGUAUAUAGGUUGCAUGUUAAUUCUGGCUCAAUCAAUACAUUUUGUUUUUCUGAAUUUGACCUUUCUGUAUUUUAUUAAGUUUUGAAUGCUUAUAUGCUUCAUGAUUGUAUGCUUGUUGGAUGGAUUAUUUGUUUUAAUUAAUUAUCUUUUGGAUGUUUAAAAUCAUGAAUCAUGCAUUAAAUUGGCUCUUGAGAUGUUUCGGGAUCACAAAAUAAUCACAGAAUUGAUUGAAACAAGCCGGAAAGCAAGUAGAGUGCAGGUGGACAGCAACCAGGCGGCUAGCCGCUUGGAAAACUGUCCCAAACCCGAGAGCAAGCGGCUAGCCGCGUGGUCACGGGUUGGACAAUUUUUUUUUGCUUGUUCUUCUUCAUUCAUGAUUUUUCUGCACAUGUUUCUCUUCUCUCACCAAAACCGUGAACAUCCUUUCCAUUUUCACCUCCAUUUUCUUCCUUUUUCAUCCAUUUUCAUGCCCAAAUCAACCAUUCAAACUAAUACCCAUGCAUUUCAUCUUCAUUAAACACUUCUCCAUCAUGAUUUCUUCACUUAUUUUUCACCAUUUCAUCAUCAUCUCUCACGAGUGAACAGUACCUCACCAUUUCUCUCUCAAAAUUCUUCAUCUUUCACUCAUUUUCUUGUUAAAAUCAAUCAUCCAACUUAUUAUUCAUCCAUUACUCCUUCAAUUUUCACUCUCAAAACUUCAUUUCAUCAACUCUCCACAUAAAACCCAAAAUCAAAAACCUAACUCUACCCGUUUCUCUCUCUACAUUUUCAAGCUUCUUUAGCCCAUUUUUUAUCCAAUCUACAUCAUCUAUUAGCUUCAUUCAUCUCUAGGAUCAAUUUUCUUGGCUCAAACAAAUCCAUUUCACUCAAUUUUUGUAAACUCAAAAUUGGAUCUUUAAGCUUGUUUUUGUUCCAACAAUGGUGGAUGGUAAUAAAUCAUGAGCAAACAAGUUGCCAAGAGAUGUAAGGACAAUUAUGGAGAUAAUAUGGAGUUCAUAUCAACACCAUCCAUUAUCUUAAAUCAUCUCUUGGAUAAAUAUAAUCGGUUUAAAAUAAUCCAUUUCACUCAUUAUUUUACAAAACCGAAUUUGUGCAUUUUGGGUAUUUUAAAUUACCAUGGUUCCUUAUUAUAUUAUGCACCUAUAUUUUCAUAUGCAUAAUUGUUUUAAUUGUGGAUUAUGGAUGAUGGUUGUUUAAUAUCUGGAUAAUUUAUAUUUGGAUGAUAUUUUCUGAAUUCUUAGAAUGAAUACGACUCUUUGGAUUAAUUGCGUGCUUUAUUUUUAUAUGGUUCUUGAUUAAUCAUUGAGAUGUUCUUUUUGGUAUAAACAUAAUGUUUGAUGAUUAUAUAUGUGCCGCUUGAUGAAUUAAUGGAGUUGUUGGUUUGUUAUAAUUGUUUAAGCUUAUAUGGAAGUGUUAUUAAUCACAUUGUGUAUUUAAGGAUUUGUGCAUUUUAAGGGGAGACUCUACUGAAAUUUUUCCUCGCACAAAAUUGGUAAUAUCCUUAUCGAAUUAUUUUUUAUGCUCUUGUUUCAUUUUUUUUCUAAUGAUAUUUUGGUUAAAUAUUUUCGGUCUUAGCAUGAAUUACUAGUAAUUUUGAUGAUGAAGGGGGAGAAGUCAUGUAUUUUGAAUAUGAAGACAUGUAAUACAUAUUUUGUAUUUCAAGUAUUUAUGCAUGAUUUUGAAAUAUUAAGGGGGAGCUUACAAAUUAUCAUAAAUCAAAUAUUUAGUCAUAUUCAGUAGAGCCAAAUUGCUCUAACAAGCCUGCCUUCAUGCCCUCCCAUGUCACAAGAUGCCCUUAAUUCUUACAACGUUGAAACCAUAACUGUGCAUCAUUUUCCAAGUGAUAUGUGUUAGCCUAAAGGGCUAUACAUAAUGUAAUUUUGAUGAUAACAAACAUAUGUAUUGAGUGAUUUAAUAAAUAUUGUAUUUUACAUUUUCACUAGUUUUUGAAGGAUAAUAUUUAUGCAAGUGAAUCAAGAUUGAAGACAUUCAACGGACAACGGCGACAUCAAGAAUAGUCUAGAGCUCAACGAACAAAUUAGUGCGAUAAGUUCUUGUAAAGCCGGUAUGAUUUAAUUGAUGUUUGAUUUAGCAUUUGAGAAGCUCAAGAAAUUAAUUUAAUUAAAUACUUUUCAUAAACUAAAAGUUUUUUUUUUUAUAAAGACAAGUAUUUUGUGAAUUUAAGUAAUUUGGACUUAAAUGCUAAGAUUUGAAAUCUUUGAUUUUAAUAAGAAUUAAAUUUCGGAGUUGGAUGUUUUUACAAAUAUUUUAAAUGUUUUGGGCCAUACUAUAAUUUGUGAAUAUUUUGGACUAAAGUGAAAGAUUUUGAGAACUUUAAAAAAUAUAGGUAUUAUGUUGAAAAUGACCUUUGUGCGAAACAAUAAAAUCUUUGGGGCCAUAUCAUAAUUUCAAAAAGUUUGGGAAAGACAACUAUUCUUGGAAAGUUCUGAAAUUGGACCUAUUUGUAAAGUUUUUUGACGUUUUGGGUCAUAGUAUAAUUAUAGAAAGUUUUAGGCCAAAGUGUAAUUUCAAUGAACAGUGUUACUGUAGCAAAAUUCAAAAAUAACGGUAAUAUCACUGUUCCUGAGCGGCGAGCCGGAUAAAUAAGCGGCUUGGGCGCUGGAAUUUGCCUAUAACGGCUAGUUUUCGGGCUUUCACUAUAAAAACUCAACUCAAACUUCAUUUUAAGAACUAACACAAGCAAAUAUAAGAUCAUAUAACAUAUAUUGAGCUUCCAUUUCGCAAAUAAUCAUUUAUUGAAUCAUUAUUGAGCUAUAAUUUAUUAUCCACUCUUAAAGGGAGUUUCUUUGUUGUGAUUUUUAUUUCUCAUCAAUUUGUGAGUGUACAAGUGUGGGAAACACUUGGGGUGAAGAGAUUGGGGAUAUAAUCUCUUGUUGUAAAGGUUUAUUGACACCUUGGAAGUCAAUUGUAAACAUUUGAAGCCUUAGGAGGCUUGGAUAGUGAAAUCCUCGAGCUCGGUUGGCUUGGAUAGCCGAACCACGUAAAAAUCCUUGUGUUUGUUUUCUCUUCCCUUACUCUUUUAAUAUUGUGCUUGAAUGAAUUUAUUGUUUUGAUUUGAUUAAGGCAAUAGAUUAAAUUGUUGUGUGAAUUGUAUUGCAUAAAUUUUUAAUAUCCCAAUUCACCCCCCGUCUUGGGUUGCAUAACUUGCAUUUCAAUAUGCUGCUAAUCGAACCUGAUCAUUAGGAGCUGUUGCUUGAAAAUCGAAGAAUUGCUCCGCCCUGCAAAUCCAUAGUGUUGGAUCUUCAGAGCCAUCAUAACGUGGAAAAUCCAACUUGGUAAGCUUUGGAGCCAUCCAACCACCUACUUCACCGAAACCACCCAGCUCUUCUUCUGUCUUUUCCAAGAACAAGUAUAAGUUACUGUUUGUGUGGUCCAACAGUUGGGUUUUCUUCUUGGCAGCUGCAACCCUCCAUACUCGCAACUUGUCAGCUCUUCCCAAUUCUAGCUACAAUUCUUCUUCUACAAUCUUCAUCUCUGCCUCCGUCAAAUCAACCUCAAACACAUGUUGCAUAUAUUCAAGAAUCAUGCUUUCGAUUUAUGUUUUUCCCUUCUCUCUAAUCUCUAAUAGAGCUUCCUUUUAUUGGAGUACACAACUUGGUGUGUAAGUUCCAUCUAUUUGACAGAUCUUGAACUUUUCUAUAUCUACAUUUGAAUAGUUAGCAAGUUACUAUCUAUCUUAUAGGAUUUCUUAGUCAAAUCCUCAAAUUCUUUUUUUACAACUCCAAGUCUUUCCUGAGACAACUUCGUCUCAGUUUGCAUCUUGGUUUUUUCUUCCUUGGACUACAGCAAUGUAGUAGCUUUACCGCCCAAAUCCCAAUUUUUCUGUGAAUGGUCUACUUUCGCAAUGUUAUCUAUAGCAAAAAGAACCUUUUUUUUUUCUCUUGCCUUGUAAUGUCAUAUAACGAACUUUUAUCAAGUUGCGAGUUAAAGCAUACAAAAUUGAUCCAAGUGCAUUAUUUAUUUGCAUGUGAAGGAACUCAUUUUCCUUAUUUACUGAUGUACGCCAAUGUGAUCCUGGUUCCGGUCAUAAAAUGAAUAAUAGAAUCGCUUAUAUGAAAUCAAAAACUGUUUAGUGCCAAGGAAAACUAUUAUGCCUGAUUUGUGCAUAAUGAAUGUAAUAAGUUAGAAAUAUUCCUUGGAUAAAACGAGAACUUAAAUGGGGGAAUAAAAUUGUUGCAAUUUAAGCAUCAAACCAACCAAACAAGGCAUAACAAGUGCUCUAAGUCAUCAUUUCAUUCAUUACUACUUUUACAAAAGAAUUAACUGAAAAAUUUUAAUAUUGCCAUGAAAAUUUAAAUGAUAUGCAUAGUAUUUAUAUUUGACAUAUGUAAGUCAUAGAUAAAUCUCUUAUUUAGAUGUCAUAUUAAUGCUAGAAAACAAGGAUGACAGAGAAAGGAAGGAAAUAAUACAUUUAAAAUUGCAUCAAACACAAAUUAGUUCAUAAUUAUGAAUAUAUGAGGGCCGAUGAGAUGUAGAAGCCUUCUUAGUGUCCAUCAUUCAGAUUAACUCAUAACUUAAUAAAUGCCACAACAUUAGGUGUAAUAUCAUGUUAUUUUCAAUCAGUUCCAUAUAAAGUGAAUAACAGAAAUUAGUCAUACUGGAAAGAAAUAAAAAUCAUUUAAAAAAAAAUAUGAACUUACCUUGCCAGAGAUUAGUAAAUCACCUAAGACUUUACUCAACACAAGAAAUGGGGAUUCUCAAAAUAAUUACAAUCAAGCCAUGGAGCUCUUGCCUGUUACUUAGUGUCCUGUUCAUCUUUGCUUUUGUGGCUUCUCUUUCUCAUGCAGAAAUUCAAUUCCAUGAGUAUGCUGUACAUUCUAAUUUAAUUUCUCAUUCUUUAUCAAUCAUAUCAUUCUUGACAGAGGAUUUAUACCUCUAUUUUAAUGAAUACAUAUUGAAGCAAGCCAGUGAAGAAAAAUAUGUUUAUAAAAGAAAAAGCAACAUCGUUUUAGUAUCAAUUGUUGCUUGAAGCCAAGAUCUAGCUCUGGUGAGGAGUGACUUUCACAAUUAAGAAAAUAAAUGUUUUCCUUCUCAAAAUAUUCACAAGUAAGAGAAAAGCAUCCAUACUCCCUAACACUGGGAUAUCGUGCAUAUGUGAAACAAGAUUAAUAAAAAGCUAAUGGUAUGAUAUUACUGCAUAUAAAAACUAGAGUGAGAGUGAGAAAUAGUGAGAGGAAGAGAUAUUUUCCAAUAACCUUCCUUCUAUCUUUGAUGCAUCAUCUACUUCCUUCUCAAGUGAACAUGCUGAUUCAAAUGCCUCAUAAGCCAACUCAGUUGUAACAACAAUUAUCCUUCUCAUUAGUUCAUAGCAAGACUCCACAAAUCGGUACACAUGAUUGCAACAUACUGACCUGCACAUAGUUCUGCCGAAAUUGACAACUGAUAACUCUAUGAAAUGAGAGUUAUUACUGCAAUUCUAGACUUAAAUCAAGACCACUUAGAGAGUAAUGAGGUGUUUUUAUUAUAUUUUGGUUAUAUUUUGCAUAAACAUCCAUUUUAGUUGAGUCUUAAUAAGUUUUGCUUGAAUUAAAGUAAUUUGUGCUCAAAACAUGUGCAUAAUUGUAGGUUUUUAGAAGUUUAUAAUUCAUGAAGGGAUGCUGAGAUAUUAGACUAGCAAGAGGAGGAAAGAAUAUGGCCACAAAAGAAGUGCAGCACAACCGGGAACAAUACAUUGUCAUAGUCGUUGCUAGAGCAACCAUUGCUGUAGCAAUCCGGGAGCACUGAGGGAGAAAACUUAGCGCGGGUCAGCUGCAGAAUUGCGAUCUACAAUUUCCUAAUUUAACUCAUGCACGCCCGAGGCUUUUGUUUACCCUACUUUUUAGUUAUAAAAAGAGGCGCACACUACAUAAAACGGCGGUAAAGAAGUAUCAUUGGAGAAAUUAGAGAGAAAAAAAGAAGAAUAUCAGAAUUCAAGGGAACGGCUGCAGCAGCAUUGAAAAAAUCCCGCAGAGUUAUUUAGAUUCACUUUUUGUCGUUCUCAACAUAUACUUUUCUUCUUUCUUUGACUGAUCUAAUGUAUCUCGUGAACAAUAUGUUGAUGUUUGUUUUUCUCUUUCAAAAUAUGAACUAAAUUUGCUUGUAGUUGAGUGACAAAUAAUCUAAUGGGUUCUUGACUGUUCUUAUGAGUUGCUAUGUUAUUACUGUAGCAUUUUACUCUAGUAGCUAUUAUUAUAAUUGUUAUUUCGGUUGACCACCCAUUUAAUAGUUCAAGUUAAGAUAGAGCCGCAAAAGGGCAUGUCUUAGUGGAUAUUAUUAGAGUAAUACUUAAUCUUAAUUUAAGUUUCCUGGAUUAAGUUUAUCUUGAAUCCCAUAAGAGCUAUACUUGAAGUUAAGAUUUGUGACAAACUAGGCAUAUGUACUCACCUUGUAGGGUGAAGAGAAUAAAGGUUCACAAUGCCAUGCCGUAGGUAGAAUAACAAUUGGUCAUUGCUAAUAUACUUAAGGGUAUGAGAGUUUCAACACGCGACAACUGAGGAUGCAAAAUAAUUCUGCCCAGUGCUGUAGCAAUUAUUGUAACAACUGGUGUUAACUUGAUGAAAAGCAGUCAGCCCAUAAAGAGAGUUUGAUCAUUCAACUACCUUAUUCUCAUUUGAUUCUUCGACGCAUUUUAUUUAAUUUAUUUCAUUACUGCAUUGUUUUAUUUUAUUCUCUCACAAUUAUCAAUUUCAAUAGAACCAAAUUUACAUUUGCUAAUUUCAGAAUUAAGGUAGAUUGCACUAUUGUGAUUGUUGUAGCAUUUCUAGUAACAUCAAUCCCUGUGGAGACGAUCUUAAAUAUUCAUCACUUUAUUACUUGUUGUGUACACUUGCACAUUGACAUCAAUAACAUUUAAUUAUAAUAAUAACCAACAACAACCAUUAUAUAUUUUAAAAAUAAAAAUCAAUUUAUACAUUCAUCUUGUUGGCAUUCAGGAAACAAUUGUUAAAAAUCAUGCAACUAACAAGUUUAUAUCGGGUAAAUAGGAAAAUACUCUAAUUAACCAAUUCUAUAGAUCUCUAAACCAUGAGUAAAUUAAGGAAGAAUGAAUAUAAAAUGUAAAAAGGCCAUUACUGUUUUUGAUCAGCUGCCUGCAGAGAAUUAUAAAUUUUUAGUAAAUUACAUGUAGGUAAUUGAUUGAUUAACAAAUGCACCCAAGAAAAUCAAAUUACACUAAGCAAUUUAUCAUCAAACUAGAAUUAAAACCCUAGAAAUUUACCUUUCUCUUAAGAAUCUGAGUAGCCAAGAACUCGACUUUGAAAUUGGCUAGCAACGACUGGAGAUCGGAGGAGAGGAUAGAGGUUGUGACCUCCCAAGCAGAGUUAGUUUGUCGAAACUGAAUGAGCCACUAAUUUGCUGCCACCCGGUUACAUGAUCCAGUCUUGUCAUGCAAGAAGUGAACGGCUUGCGCCAAUUUGAUUUGCAAGUCCAUUUGCAUCAAGUGAAGCCUAGUUUGUAGAAAAUUCAGUGGUGGAUUUCGAGUAAGAUGGUCGUUAGAAGAGAUGCAGCUUCGGCUUCUCUUGGUGGUGGACUUUCAGUAGGAUGCUGGUUGGAGGAGACGCAACUUUAGCUUCUCUUCGUCAUUGUUUUCUUAUCUUAAGAGGUGAGGGAUUCAAUUCGUUUAAUCAAUUGCAACCGGCCGCAACAGUCAAUCAUCUGGGUUGACUUUUUCAAUCACCCCGUCUAUAACCGUUUCUACUAGUUAUGCUUUGUUUUUUUUUUUUGUCCAUGUGGCAGAUUGUUAUUGGUUAGUUAGUCAAAUCGCAGGCGGUAAAGCUACAACAACUGUAACUUAAGGGGAUCCUUAUGUAGAUUGUCUCAACAAAUCUAGUUGGAUCUAUUCUCUGCACUCGUGAAGCUAUGCGUGUGAUGAGAGACCAACCAAAUGGAGGCCACAUAUUUAACAUGGACUGUGCUGGCUCUGAAGGAUCUAGUACCCCUCUUACUGCUGUGUAAGUCCCCUUCAUUUUUAUUAAUUGAGAGUUUAAUACUAGUGUCAGUGGAAGCUGAAUGUUUCAGAAUGAAAUUUUAACAAUUGAUGUUCAAUACUCCAUUAAUUCUUGAUCAUUUGGAGUUUCUGAGAGUUGCUUGCUUUGUUGUACUACUUCAAACUUGUAGCUAUGGGUCUACAAAAUGUAGUCUCAGGCAGCUGAAGAAACUUGUUUUUUAUUUCUCAAAAUAAAACAUUAUACAUUGAGCGUUAUUUAUAGAUGUAGAGGCUACAUCUUUUUCAAAGAUUACAUACGUGAUUACAAAAGGAAACGUGUCAAUCCGUUCAGUGCGGAUCGUGUCUUUGGCAAGUGCGGAUCAUGCCUUUGAAAACUUCCUUCAAUGCCGUUUUAUUUGACAUUCUCAACACUCCCCCUCAAACUGGUGCAUAGAUGUCUUGCAUGCCUAGCUUGUCUAGGAAUUUUGUAAAUGCUCUACUUGAAAUGGCCUUCGUUAAAAUAUCUGCAAGUUAAUAUUCUGAAUGAAUUUUCGGCAGUUUUAAGAUUUUUUCAUCUAAUUUCUCCUUAAUUAAAAAUCUAUCUACCUCGACGUGUUUUGUUCGAUCGUGUUAAACUGAGUUAUGAGCAAUAUCUCGUGUAGUUUUAUUGUCACAGUAUAGUUGUAUUGGUUGUUGUGAUAGAUAACCCAAGUCUUUUAAGAUAAAGCUUAUCCAUAGCCCUUCACAUACNNNNNNNNNNNNNNNNNNNNNNNNNNNNNNNNNNNNNNNNNNNNNNNNNNNNNNNNNNNNNNNNNNNNNNNNNNNNNNNNNNNNNNNNNNNNNNNNNNNNNNNNNNNNNNNNNNNNNNNNNNNNNNNNNNNNNNNNNNNNNNNNNNNNNNNNNNNNNNNNNNNNNNNNNNNNNNNNNNNNNNNNNNNNNNNNNNNNNNNNNNNNNNNNNNNNNNNNNNNNNNNNNNNNNNNNNNNNNNNNNNNNNNNNNNNNNNNNNNNNNNNNNNNNNNNNNNNNNNNNNNNNNNNNNNNNNNNNNNNNNNNNNNNNNNNNNNNNNNNNNNNNNNNNNNNNNNNNNNNNNNNNNNNNNNNNNNNNNNNNNNNNNNNNNNNNNNNNNNNNNNNNNNNNNNNNNNNNNNNNNNNNNNNNNNNNNNNNNNNNNNNNNNNNNNNNNNNNNNNNNNNNNNNNNNNNNNNNNNNNNNNNNNNNNNNNNNNNNNNNNNNNNNNNNNNNNNNNNNNNNNNNNNNNNNNNNNNNNNNNNNNNNNNNNNNNNNNNNNNNNNNNNNNNNNNNNNNNNNNNNNNNNNNNNNNNNNNNNNNNNNNNNNNNNNNNNNNNNNNNNNNNNNNNNNNNNNNNNNNNNNNNNNNNNNNNNNNNNNNNNNNNNNNNNNNNNNNNNNNNNNNNNNNNNNNNNNNNNNNNNNNNNNNNNNNNNNNNNNNNNNNNNNNNNNNNNNNNNNNNNNNNNNNNNNNNNNNNNNNNNNNNNNNNNNNNNNNNNNNNNNNNNNNNNNNNNNNNNNNNNNNNNNNNNNNNNNNNNNNNNNNNNNNNNNNNNNNNNNNNNNNNNNNNNNNNNNNNNNNNNNNNNNNNNNNNNNNNNNNNNNNNNNNNNNNNNNNNNNNNNNNNNNNNNNNNNNNNNNNNNNNNNNNNNNNNNNNNNNNNNNNNNNNNNNNNNNNNNNNNNNNNNNNNNNNNNNNNNNNNNNNNNNNNNNNNNNNNNNNNNNNNNNNNNNNNNNNNNNNNNNNNNNNNNNNNNNNNNNNNNNNNNNNNNNNNNNNNNNNNNNNNNNNNNNNNNNNNNNNNNNNNNNNNNNNNNNNNNNNNNNNNNNNNNNNNNNNNNNNNNNNNNNNNNNNNNNNNNNNNNNNNNNNNNNNNNNNNNNNNNNNNNNNNNNNNNNNNNNNNNNNNNNNNNNNNNNNNNNNNNNNNNNNNNNNNNNNNNNNNNNNNNNNNGAUCUUAAAUAUUCAUCACUUUAUUACUUGUUGUGUACACUUGCACAUUGACAUCAAUAACAUUUAAUUAUAAUAAUAACCAACAACAACCAUUAUAUAUUUUAAAAAUAAAAAUCAAUUUAUACAUUCAUCUUGUUGGCAUUCAGGAAACAAUUGUUAAAAAUCAUGCAACUAACAAGUUUAUAUCGGGUAAAUAGGAAAAUACUCUAAUUAACCAAUUCUAUAGAUCUCUAAACCAUGAGUAAAUUAAGGAAGAAUGAAUAUAAAAUGUAAAAAGGCCAUUACUGUUUUUGAUCAGCUGCCUGCAGAGAAUUAUAAAUUUUUAGUAAAUUACAUGUAGGUAAUUGAUUGAUUAACAAAUGCACCCAAGAAAAUCAAAUUACACUAAGCAAUUUAUCAUCAAACUAGAAUUAAAACCCUAGAAAUUUACCUUUCUCUUAAGAAUCUGAGUAGCCAAGAACUCGACUUUGAAAUUGGCUAGCAACGACUGGAGAUCGGAGGAGAGGAUAGAGGUUGUGACCUCCCAAGCAGAGUUAGUUUGUCGAAACUGAAUGAGCCACUAAUUUGCUGCCACCCGGUUACAUGAUCCAGUCUUGUCAUGCAAGAAGUGAACGGCUUGCGCCAAUUUGAUUUGCAAGUCCAUUUGCAUCAAGUGAAGCCUAGUUUGUAGAAAAUUCAGUGGUGGAUUUCGAGUAAGAUGGUCGUUAGAAGAGAUGCAGCUUCGGCUUCUCUUGGUGGUGGACUUUCAGUAGGAUGCUGGUUGGAGGAGACGCAACUUUAGCUUCUCUUCGUCAUUGUUUUCUUAUCUUAAGAGGUGAGGGAUUCAAUUCGUUUAAUCAAUUGCAACCGGCCGCAACAGUCAAUCAUCUGGGUUGACUUUUUCAAUCACCCCGUCUAUAACCGUUUCUACUAGUUAUGCUUUGUUUUUUUUUUUUUGUCCAUGUGGCAGAUUGUUAUUGGUUAGUUAGUCAAAUCGCAGGCGGUAAAGCUACAACAACUGUAACUUAAGGGGAUCCUUAUGUAGAUUGUCUCAACAAAUCUAGUUGGAUCUAUUCUCUGCACUCGUGAAGCUAUGCGUGUGAUGAGAGACCAACCAAAUGGAGGCCACAUAUUUAACAUGGACUGUGCUGGCUCUGAAGGAUCUAGUACCCCUCUUACUGCUGUGUAAGUCCCCUUCAUUUUUAUUAAUUGAGAGUUUAAUACUAGUGUCAGUGGAAGCUGAAUGUUUCAGAAUGAAAUUUUAACAAUUGAUGUUCAAUACUCCAUUAAUUCUUGAUCAUUUGGAGUUUCUGAGAGUUGCUUGCUUUGUUGUACUACUUCAAACUUGUAGCUAUGGGUCUACAAAAUGUAGUCUCAGGCAGCUGAAGAAACUUGUUUUUUAUUUCUCAAAAUAAAACAUUAUACAUUGAGCGUUAUUUAUAGAUGUAGAGGCUACAUCUUUUUCAAAGAUUACAUACGUGAUUACAAAAGGAAACGUGUCAAUCCGUUCAGUGCGGAUCGUGUCUUUGGCAAGUGCGGAUCAUGCCUUUGAAAACUUCCUUCAAUGCCGUUUUAUUUGACAUUCUCAACACUCCCCCUCAAACUGGUGCAUAGAUGUCUUGCAUGCCUAGCUUGUCUAGGAAUUUUGUAAAUGCUCUACUUGAAAUGGCCUUCGUUAAAAUAUCUGCAAGUUAAUAUUCUGAAUGAAUUUUCGGCAGUUUUAAGAUUUUUUCAUCUAAUUUCUCCUUAAUUAAAAAUCUAUCUACCUCGACGUGUUUUGUUCGAUCGUGUUAAACUGAGUUAUGAGCAAUAUCUCGUGUAGUUUUAUUGUCACAGUAUAGUUGUAUUGGUUGUUGUGAUAGAUAACCCAAGUCUUUUAAGAUAAAGCUUAUCCAUAGCCCUUCACAUACUCCAAGGGCCAUGCCUUGAUAUUCUACUUCAGCGCUCGAACGGGCAACGACAUGUUGUUUUUUGAUUCUCCAUGUGACAAGGUUGCCUCCUACAAAUGUAAAGUAGCCUGAAGUAGAGUGUCUAUCACUAGCUGACCCGGCCCAAUCUGCAUCAGUAUAAACUUUUAUGUUGUUGUAAUUUUCAUUUUUGGAAAAUAGGAUUCUUUUUCCUGGAUUUAACUUCAGGUACCUCAGGAUCCGCAUUACUGCUUCCAUAUGUUGUUCUCCGGGAUUAUGCAUAAACUGACUUACAACACUCAAUGCAUAAGCAAGAUCUGGCCUUGUGUGGGACAAGUACAUCAAUCUUCCAAUCAGUCUUUGAUAUAUUCCUUUGUCUACUGGAACUUAGUUUGGGGUAAUACAGAACAUUAGUCCUUCUUCUAUUGGGGUGUCAAUAGGCUAACAAGCUGUCAUUCUUGUUUUAUGCAAUAGAUCUAAGGCAUAUUUCCUUUGAGACAGGAAGAUUCCUUCCAAGAAAGUAUUUUAAGGCUCCUAAAUCCUUCAUCUCAAACUCUCUCGACAAAUACUUCUGAAGAGCUUUUCUUUCUUCUUUGUUGUUACCUGUAACUACCAUGUCAUCCACAUAGAUGAUAAGGGCAGUGAUUUUACCUUGCCCUUUUUUUUAUAAACAAGGUAUGAUCUGAAUUGCUUUGGUUAUAGCAAAAAACACUCAUAAUCUUUGUGAAUUUCCUGAACCAUGCUCUUGGGGAUUGCUCCAACCCGUAUAAUGAUUUCUUCAAUUUGCAUACUUCCUGAUGGAGUCGUUUUGGUCCACUGCAUCCUGUUGGUAGAUCCAUAUAAAUUUCUUCAGACAGAUCUCCAUGAAGGAAAGCAUUCUUUACAUCGAAUUGUUGCACUGGCCAAUCCAAGUUUGCUGCUAAUGAUAAUAAGAUACGAAUAAUAUUAAUUUUUGCUACCGAUACAAAUGUAUCAGUAUAAUUUAUCUCGUAGGUUUGGGUGUAACCCUUAGCUAUGAGCCUUGCUUUGUAUCGUUCAAUGGAACCAUAUGCCUUGUACUUUAUAGUGUAGAUCCAUCGGCAACUUUCCGGUGGAAGAUCAACUAGUUCCCAUGUUUGAUUUUUCUGAAGAUAUCUCAUUUCGUCAUGCAUAGCUGCUUUCCACUUUAGGUCUUUUAAGGUUUCUUGCAUACUGUUAGAGAUAGAUACAGUAGAUAAUUGAUUCAUAAAUGACUGAUUUAAUUCUAACAAGCGAUGGUUAGACACAAAAUGACUCAUAAGGUAUUUGACUCUACUAGAGAGGUCAUGCUCAUAUGUGGGUUUAGAGAUACCUCUAUAUUGACGCUGAUGAAGUAUUCUUCUGAUUAGACUAGGACUUGUGGUAGGAACAUCCUCUGUAAACGAUUGGUUAAGUAUUUCUUCAUGUGGUUCUUCAUAAGACUCGUUCUCGAUUAUGGUUGUGUAUGAGUUAUUUUGCUUCCCAAAUGUGUCUUACUUAUUUCAGCCCGAGAAUCAUCACCAUUUUCUUUUCUAGUAUCUUGAAGGUUUACUACCUCAAUGGAGGAUUGAUCUUAUUUAGGUGGAAGAUAUGUAAAAGUAUGAAUUUCCUCUUCAUUAUACUCCCAUUGAAAUUUAGGCUCCGAUAGGUAGUACAUGAUAUCUUCAUGAAAGACGACAUCCAUGGUAAUGUAUAUUUUUCUUGACGGAGGAUGAUGGCAUCGGUACCCAUUUUGAUGUAAGACAUGCCCUACAAACACACAACGUACUGCUCGAGGACAUAAUUUGUCUUGUUGCGGCAAAUGAACGAAGGCAACACAACCAAACACUUGUGGGGGUAAAUUCGACACAUUUGGUGACAUAAUUGCUUCAUUUAGAACCUGGAAAUGAGUCUGGAAUCUAAUGGAGCUUGAAGGUGUUCGAUUGAUCAAGUAUGUUAUGGAUGCCAGUGCUUCUCCCUAAUAAUAUAGUGGCAUGUGGGCCUGGAUUAGUGAUGCUCGAACAAAUUUUAUUAAAUGUUUGUUUUUUCGUUCAGCAACACCAUUUUGUUGGAGUGUGCCCACACAAGUAGUUUGGUGGACAAUUCCUUGUGAUUUCAGAAACUGUUGAAUUGUUGUGCUCAUAUACUCGCCUUCAUUAUCAGUAUGUAGUGAAAUGCAAGUUAUGCAACCCAAGAGGGGGGGUGAAUUGAGAUUUUAAAAAUUAUGCAAUACAAUUCGCACAACAAAUCAAUCUAACGCCUUAAUAAAAUAGAAAACAAUAAAUUCAAAUAAGCGUAAAAAUAAAAGAGUAAGGGAAGAGAAAAACAAACACACAGAUUUUUACGUGGUUCGGCAAUCCAUGCCUACGUCCACGCCUCCAAACCAACCAAGCUCGAGGAUUUCACUAUCCGAGCCUCCCAAGGCUUCAAGUUCUUACAAUUGACUUACAAGGUGUCAAUGAAUCUUUACAAUCAAGAGAUUAUCUCCCCAAUCUUGAAGAUAUGUAAAAGUAUGAAUUUCCUCUUCAUUAUACUCCCAUUGAAAUUUAGGCUCCGAUAGGUAGUACAUGAUAUCUUCAUGAAAGACGACAUCCAUGGUAAUGUAUAUUUUUCUUGACGGAGGAUGAUGGCAUCGGUACCCAUUUUGAUGUAAGACAUGCCCUACAAACACACAACGUACUGCUCGAGGACAUAAUUUGUCUUGUUGCGGCAAAUGAACGAAGGCAACACAACCAAACACUUGUGGGGGUAAAUUCGACACAUUUGGUGACAUAAUUGCUUCAUUUAGAACCUGGAAAUGAGUCUGGAAUCUAAUGGAGCUUGAAGGUGUUCGAUUGAUCAAGUAUGUUAUGGAUGCCAGUGCUUCUCCCUAAUAAUAUAGUGGCAUGUGGGCCUGGAUUAGUGAUGCUCGAACAAAUUUUAUUAAAUGUUUGUUUUUUCGUUCAGCAACACCAUUUUGUUGGAGUGUGCCCACACAAGUAGUUUGGUGGACAAUUCCUUGUGAUUUCAGAAACUGUUGAAUUGUUGUGCUCAUAUACUCGCCUUCAUUAUCAGUAUGUAGUGAAAUGCAAGUUAUGCAACCCAAGAGGGGGGGUGAAUUGAGAUUUUAAAAAUUAUGCAAUACAAUUCGCACAACAAAUCAAUCUAACGCCUUAAUAAAAUAGAAAACAAUAAAUUCAAAUAAGCGUAAAAAUAAAAGAGUAAGGGAAGAGAAAAACAAACACACAGAUUUUUACGUGGUUCGGCAAUCCAUGCCUACGUCCACGCCUCCAAACCAACCAAGCUCGAGGAUUUCACUAUCCGAGCCUCCCAAGGCUUCAAGUUCUUACAAUUGACUUACAAGGUGUCAAUGAAUCUUUACAAUCAAGAGCUGCUGUACGGCCAAGGCGGAUGUACGGUACAGCAGAUUAUGCAUAAACUGACUUACAACACUCAAUGCAUAAGCAAGAUCUGGCCUUGUGUGGGACAAGUACAUCAAUCUUCCAAUCAGUCUUUGAUAUAUUCCUUUGUCUACUGGAACUUAGUUUGGGGUAAUACAGAACAUUAGUCCUUCUUCUAUUGGGGUGUCAAUAGGCUAACAAGCUGUCAUUCUUGUUUUAUGCAAUAGAUCUAAGGCAUAUUUCCUUUGAGACAGGAAGAUUCCUUCCAAGAAAGUAUUUUAAGGCUCCUAAAUCCUUCAUCUCAAACUCUCUCGACAAAUACUUCUGAAGAGCUUUUCUUUCUUCUUUGUUGUUACCUGUAACUACCAUGUCAUCCACAUAGAUGAUAAGGGCAGUGAUUUUACCUUGCCCUUUUUUUUAUAAACAAGGUAUGAUCUGAAUUGCUUUGGUUAUAGCAAAAAACACUCAUAAUCUUUGUGAAUUUCCUGAACCAUGCUCUUGGGGAUUGCUCCAACCCGUAUAAUGAUUUCUUCAAUUUGCAUACUUCCUGAUGGAGUCGUUUUGGUCCACUGCAUCCUGUUGGUAGAUCCAUAUAAAUUUCUUCAGACAGAUCUCCAUGAAGGAAAGCAUUCUUUACAUCGAAUUGUUGCACUGGCCAAUCCAAGUUUGCUGCUAAUGAUAAUAAGAUACGAAUAAUAUUAAUUUUUGCUACCGAUACAAAUGUAUCAGUAUAAUUUAUCUCGUAGGUUUGGGUGUAACCCUUAGCUAUGAGCCUUGCUUUGUAUCGUUCAAUGGAACCAUAUGCCUUGUACUUUAUAGUGUAGAUCCAUCGGCAACUUUCCGGUGGAAGAUCAACUAGUUCCCAUGUUUGAUUUUUCUGAAGAUAUCUCAUUUCGUCAUGCAUAGCUGCUUUCCACUUUAGGUCUUUUAAGGUUUCUUGCAUACUGUUAGAGAUAGAUACAGUAGAUAAUUGAUUCAUAAAUGACUGAUUUAAUUCUAACAAGCGAUGGUUAGACACAAAAUGACUCAUAAGGUAUUUGACUCUACUAGAGAGGUCAUGCUCAUAUGUGGGUUUAGAGAUACCUCUAUAUUGACGCUGAUGAAGUAUUCUUCUGAUUAGACUAGGACUUGUGGUAGGAACAUCCUCUGUAAACGAUUGGUUAAGUAUUUCUUCAUGUGGUUCUUCAUAAGACUCGUUCUCGAUUAUGGUUGUGUAUGAGUUAUUUUGCUUCCCAAAUGUGUCUUACUUAUUUCAGCCCGAGAAUCAUCACCAUUUUCUUUUCUAGUAUCUUGAAGGUUUACUACCUCAAUGGAGGAUUGAUCUUAUUUAGGUGGAAGAUAUGUAAAAGUAUGAAUUUCCUCUUCAUUAUACUCCCAUUGAAAUUUAGGCUCCGAUAGGUAGUACAUGAUAUCUUCAUGAAAGACGACAUCCAUGGUAAUGUAUAUUUUUCUUGACGGAGGAUGAUGGCAUCGGUACCCAUUUUGAUGUAAGACAUGCCCUACAAACACACAACGUACUGCUCGAGGACAUAAUUUGUCUUGUUGCGGCAAAUGAACGAAGGCAACACAACCAAACACUUGUGGGGGUAAAUUCGACACAUUUGGUGACAUAAUUGCUUCAUUUAGAACCUGGAAAUGAGUCUGGAAUCUAAUGGAGCUUGAAGGUGUUCGAUUGAUCAAGUAUGUUAUGGAUGCCAGUGCUUCUCCCUAAUAAUAUAGUGGCAUGUGGGCCUGGAUUAGUGAUGCUCGAACAAAUUUUAUUAAAUGUUUGUUUUUUCGUUCAGCAACACCAUUUUGUUGGAGUGUGCCCACACAAGUAGUUUGGUGGACAAUUCCUUGUGAUUUCAGAAACUGUUGAAUUGUUGUGCUCAUAUACUCGCCUUCAUUAUCAGUAUGUAGUGAAAUGCAAGUUAUGCAACCCAAGAGGGGGGGUGAAUUGAGAUUUUAAAAAUUAUGCAAUACAAUUCGCACAACAAAUCAAUCUAACGCCUUAAUAAAAUAGAAAACAAUAAAUUCAAAUAAGCGUAAAAAUAAAAGAGUAAGGGAAGAGAAAAACAAACACACAGAUUUUUACGUGGUUCGGCAAUCCAUGCCUACGUCCACGCCUCCAAACCAACCAAGCUCGAGGAUUUCACUAUCCGAGCCUCCCAAGGCUUCAAGUUCUUACAAUUGACUUACAAGGUGUCAAUGAAUCUUUACAAUCAAGAGAUUAUCUCCCCAAUCUUUUUACCCCAAGUGUUUCUCACACUUAUACACUCACAAUUUGAUAAGAAAUGAAAAUUACAAUAAAAACUCUCUUUAAGAGUGGAUAUGCAAAUAAUAGCUCAACAAUGAUUCAAUCUAUGAUGAUUUGCGUUUUGGAAGCUCAAUAUAUGUUGUAUGAUCUUAUAUUUGCUUGCAUUAGUUCUUAGAAUGAAGUUUGAGUUGAGUUUUUAUAGUUAAAGCCCGAAAACUAGUCGUUAUAGGCAAGUUCCCGCGCCCAAGAGGGUAGCCGCUCAGGAACAGUGAUAUUACCAUUAUUUUUGAAUUUUGCUACAUUAACACUGUUUACUAAAAUUACACUUUGGCCCAAAAUUUUUAUAAUUAUACUAUAGCCCAAAACGUCACAAAACUUUACAAAUAAAUCCAAUUUCAGAAUUUCUUAAAAAUAGUUAUCUUUCCAAAAAUUUUUGAAAUUAUGAUAUGGCCCCAAAGAUAUUAUUAUUUUUCAAAGAGAUCCUUUUCAAAUUUAGCAUAAUACCUAUAUUUUUCAAAGUUCUCAAAACCUUUCACUUUAAUCCAAAAAUUGAAAAUAUGAGAUUUUCCUCAAGCGGCCAGCUGCUAGCCUCAGGCGGUUAGCAGCUUCCCCUCUGUCCAAUUUUGGAUUUCAAGUGUUUAGCUUACAUUCGGGUCCUCAAAAUUUCAUAAAUUAUAAUAUGGCCCAAAACGCUUCAAAUCUUUACAAAUAAGUCCAACUUUGAAUUUCAAAAUAAUACUUAUUAAAAUCAAAGAUUUCAAAACUUAGCAUUUAAGUCUAAAUUACUCAAAUCCACAAAAUACUUUUCUUUAUAAAAAUUAAACCUUUUAGUUUAUGAAAAGUAUUUAAUUAAAUUAAUCUCUUGAACUUCUCAAAUGCUAAAUCAUGCAUCAAUUAAAUCAUACCGGCUUUACAAGAAUUUAUCGCACUAAUUUGUUCGUUGAGCUCUAAACUAUAUUCUUGAUGUCGCCGUUAUUCGUUGAGUGUCUUCAAUCUUGAUUUCACUUGAUUUAUUUGCAUAAAUAUUAUCCUUAAAAAACUAGUGACAAAUGUGAAAUACAAUAUUUAUUAUUUUUAACUAAGACACAUGUUUGUUAUCAUCAAAAUUACAUUAUGUGUAGCCUUUUAGGCUAACAUGUAGAACUCGAAUUUGUGUCUGAAAUUGAGUCGUCACCAUCUUAUGAAAUCUUUGAAAUAAAAAGUUUACUGCGUCUUUUGAUUUCAUCAAAAAAAUCCAUGUCAUUCUGCUACAAUCAUCAAUAAAUGUAAUAAACCAAUGAGCUCCUCCAAUUGUAGAAACUUUAGAUGGUCCCCACACAUUAAAAUGUACUAUCAUGAAAGGAACUGAAUUCUUAUUUAAGGACAAUGAAAAAGUAGUUCAAUGGCUUUUUAAAAGUUCAUAAACAUCACAUUUAAAGUUACAAACAUCAAAUUUCAUAAACAAAUUAGGAAAUAAUUUUUUAAAGUAACCAAAUGACAAAUGCCCUAAACGUCUAUGCCAUAACCAAAUUUCUAAUUUCCUUUUUUUCAUGGAACUAUCUGCUACUAAUGCGGGGCUUAACUUUUCAGUGUUUGUUGAUGUCAUCUCCAGGUAAUACAAGUUGCCUCGUCUAAUACCAUAACCAAUCGUUUGCUUUGUUUGGAUGUCCUUAAACACGCAAUGAUCAGGGCAAAAAAUUACAACACAUGAUAAGUAAGUGGUUAUUUGAGACACAGAUAAAAGAUUAUAAUCUAAAGAUGGAACAAUUAACACAAAGUCUAAAUUUUAUUUAUCUGUGAGUCUUAAAGAUCUUUCCCUAAUAACUGAGGUUGUGGUUCUAUUUGCAGUGGAAACAUAUUUUUGUGAAGAUGGUUUCAAUUGAGAAACUUAUUAAGAAUCAAAAGUCAUAUGAUCACUUGCACCAGAAUUAAUUAUCCAUGUACUAUUAAUAACAGGUGUAAGAGUUUUAAGGGCUUUACCUGGACUGACAGAGGUUGCAAUUUGCGCUGAAGAUUCUUUUCUAAGAUCUGUAGUGGAUGUGGAUUCAGCUACUGCAGUUUUUAAUCCCUACUUGGUGUUCUUCUUUUGAGUAUCCCAUCAGUCAGGAUAUCCAAUGAUUUAAAAGCAUUGUUCGUUCGUAUGACCCUUCUUCCUACAAUGAGUGCAAUAGAGUGAUGAUUUGUUAACAAGUUUCCUUUGAGGCUGCUGUCGUACUAUCAUAGUAGACGUUUCUGAUUUGACCUUCUUGUUUAUUUUGCUUUGUCAUAUAUCUUCUUUUCGGAUAAGAGAAUAACAUUCUUUUAAGUCUGGGAUAAUAUAUUUUCGUAGAAUUUCUCCACAAACUUGGUCAAAUUCUUCAUCUAGCCUAGCAAGAAAAAUGUGCACUCUCAAUCUUUCAACAGACUUUUUGUAUAUUACAACAUCUUCUGAAUUUUUCAUGACCACUUUAUCUCGGUGAUCAAGUUCUCAAAAUACUUUGAUCAAUUCUCAGUAAAAUUUAGAGAGUGAUUGUUCAUUUUGUUUGGUAGAGAACGCUUUCUAGUUUAGAGUGAAAACUUGAUAUUCGUCGCUUCCAUCAUGGAAGGCUUUUGAUAAUGCAUUCCAGAUUUCGUAGGCUGUAGGAAUUCGUAAAUAUCGCUUCAUGAUCUCAGGAGACAUGGAUAUGAGUAACCAUCUUUUUUAUUUUUGAUUCUCACUAUUCAAUUUCUCAUAUUCCUUUGAAGACUCGUCAGAUGGUUUUGUGCUGCUACAAAUAUAUGAGAGUUUUUCUCUUUCUGCGAGAUGCAUCUCCAUUAUUUGAGACCAACCAUCGUAGUUUAUCUCAGUAAAGAUAAUUCCGGCAUUAAAUACCUCAUCAGAUUGAACAGAUUGAAUGACAACAGGAGUAGAUUUAGUUGAAAUUUUCUCCAUUUUUUUUGGUGUAUAGUUUCAAACAAGGGAAAUAUAAUUUUUUUGAGAAAAAACGACAAGUCAUUUUGUUUCUACUUAGUAAAACGAUAUGUCUGUUUUGAUGGAAUAAAAAUGACAGGUCAUUUUUAAAGGCUGCUGCACUUCUAAGAAUAAAAUGUCACGUCAUUUUGUUUCUGCUUAACAAACCGACAUGUUGGUUACUGUGGAAUAAAAAUGACAAGUCAUUUUUCAAUAUGCUGCACUUCUGUAGAUGACAACGACAUGUCGUUUUGAAUCAUCUUCAACCUCUGGAGCGCGUGCGGGCGCGUGAGGGUUAGCCGUGAAUUCGGGAAGUGCCUGGAGGCGCGUGCGACUGUGUUGAGAUGCGAAAUUUUUACAAUUUGCUUACUGGAAACUGAGAAAUUUGAUGAAAUUCUCGGUUUUUUAAAGACAUUAUCUUGGAAAAUAUAUGAGACUGUUGAUGGAUUUAUAAACUCAAGUUUUUACGUAUAGGUGGCUUGUUUUUUUAUUGGCAUGGGUUUCUGUAAUGCUAGGAAUGAUUUUAAGGAAGAAAAAUGGUGGAAAAUGGUUGUGGGAAAGAGUUGGUUUCCUCUGUUUUUGUUACAAACAGAGCAGCGUACCUCGUUCUAAUACCAUAAAGAAAUUUGUUUUUCAUUUCUCAAAAUAAAACAUUAUACAUUGAGCGGUAUUUUCAUUUCUCGCCUCCGCCCCCCACCACUCCCUCGGCUCCCGGAUGUACGGUACAGCAGGGAUCGCCGCCGCCUCCGACGGGUGACGACGGUGGUGGUGGGGUGAGUACUGGGUUAGUGGUGGGGUUAGCGAUUGGUGUGCUGGCGGUAAUUGUAGUGGUGAGCCUGUUGUUUUUGUGUUGCGCAAGAAGAGGAGGAGGAAAGAUGACGAGGCCGGUUACUAUAUACCCCCACCUCCUCUUGCCCCAAAAGGUUUUUGCUUUUAACUUUUUUUUCUUUUCUUUAAAUUAGUAUUUUUAUUUAUUUCAAAUUGCUUCUGGUUUUGUUGAUUUUAAUCAUUUUGUGCGUUUCCGUGACCUGUUUUUGCAGUGUUG